rfam:Raoultella planticola strain GCSL-DIFS-295 CFSAN029441_contig0347, whole genome shotgun sequence.
GCUGUCGCAAAAUCGGCAGCCGGAAUUGGCGUUCCGAAUAACUUCAAGGCGACACGACACGCGCCAUGCGUGUUUUUU